CCAUGGCUCAGCUGGUAGAGCAACGCAUUCGUAAUGCGUAGGUCAGGGGUUCGAAUCCCCUUGG
rnacentral:tRNA from 1 species